AAAUACAAGUAUAUUUUUUCUGCUUCUUUCAUGCAUGCUGGUUCCCAAACAGCAGGUAGUAGCCUUGUCAAGGCUUGUGGUAGCUUGGGUGCUAUUAAACAAGAUCAUGAACCAAAGAAAAUGGAUUUAGAUCGGGGAAAAACAAAAAUAAUCGAAUAGUCGUCUAUUCCGUCCGUCGAUAUCCGAGAUUUGGAAGUUGGUUAUGAGCUCGGCGAUCGUCAGAGAAGUCUAUCACACUAUCGAGUACUGUUUUCGGUAUUUUACUAAGUUUGAAAUUGAACUUAUGGCAUGUAUAGUCUAGUUAAUAUGUUUGAUUUCGGGUAUGUUAAUAUGAGCCAUGCGAAAAUGGCUUAUUUAUUUUGUUAAGCAUGGUUUUUAUGCUUUUGAACAAGUGUUAGAUAUGUUGAUUUUGGUAUCUCGGCUAUGGCAUAUUUAUUUAUGUGAAUUAUGUUU